rnacentral:rRNA from 1 species
AGAGUUUGAUCCUGGCUCAGGAUGAACGCUGGCGGCGUGCCUAAUACAUGCAAGUCGAACGCUUCACUUCGGUGAAGAGUGGCGAACGGGUGAGUAAUACAUAAGUAACCUGGCAUCUACAGGGGGAUAACUGAUGGAAACGUCAGCUAAGACCGCAUAGGUGUAGAGAUCGCAUGAACUCUAUAUGAAAAGUGCUACGGGACUGGUAGAUGAUGGACUUAUGGCGCAUUAGCUUGUUGGUAGGGUAACGGCCUACCAAGGCGACGAUGCGUAGCCGACCUGAGAGGGUGACCGGCCACACUGGGACUGAGACACGGUCCAAACUCCUACGGGAGGCAGCA